rnacentral:pre_miRNA from 1 species
GAUUUCAACUGAAAAAGUCAUUAACAACAAAGUUGUAUAACUCAUCAAGAUCUACAACUUUUAUUUUGGUCAUUUCUUAAUCCAAAAAAGUGAUAGUAACAUUGUUAACAAAAUUUACAUAUCUCUAUUAUAGUUUAUAAAACAAUAUGAGAGAUAUGUAAAUUUUAUAAACAAUAUUACUGUCACUUUGUUGGAUGAAGAAAUGGCCAAAAUAAAAAUUCUAUGUCUUCAUGAGUUCUACAUCUUUUAUGUUCAUGACUUUUUCAACUGAAAUU